rnacentral:rRNA from 1 species
UACAGAGGGUGCAAGCGUUAAUCGGAAUUACUGGGCGUAAAGGGCCUGUAGGUGGUUUCUUAAGUUAGAUGUGAAAGCCCUGGGCUCAACCUGGGAACUGCAUCUAAAACUGGGUAACUAGAGUAUGGUAGAGGGAAGUGGAAUUUCUAGUGUAGCGGUGAAAUGCGUAGAUAUUAGAAAGAACACCAGUGGCGAAGGCGACUUCCUGGCCCAAUACUGACACUGAGGGGCGAAAGCGUGGGGAGCAAACAGG